AUGGAUGAAGAGAAUUUCACGGAACAUGGCAUUGGUGAACUACCUCAAAAUCUUUACGACGAAGAACAGCUGAACUCUUUCAACAAUACGGCGCAGUAUAAUGAAGAGCCUGGUGGUAACUCAUACAACGAAGAGCCUGGAAACCAAUAUGACGAAGGAGCUGGGGAUGCAUACAACGAGGUGCAAGCAAAUUUGCUCAGCGAAGAACCAGAAACUCAGUACAAUGAUGAACCAGCAAACGCUUACCAGGACGAGAAUGCAUACAAUGGGGAAGUGAAGCAGCAGGAAAAUUUGCAGGUAGAGGGAGAUGAUAAGAGGUGGCCAGGUUGGCCAGGAGAUAGCGUUUUCCGUAUACUGGUCCCAUCCCAGAAGGUUGGUGCUAUCAUUGGCCGCAAAGGGGAGUUUAUCAAAAGGAUGUGCGAGGAGUCUAAAGCUCGCAUAAAAAUACUAGAUGGCCCACCUGGUGUAACAGAACGAGCAGUAAUAAUUUCAGCAAAGGAUGAGCCAGAUGAACCGAUAUCUCCAGCUAUGGAUGGCUUGCUUAAAAUUCAUAAGCGGAUAACUGAUGGUUCAGAUGGUGAAUCUGGUCAGCUCCAACGGGGUGCUAGUAAUGUAGGACCAACACGACUGCUAGUGCCAGCUUCCCAAGCUGGCAGCCUUAUUGGGAAGCAAGGAGCAACCAUUAAAUCCAUCCAAGAUUCUUCAAAGUCAGUUGUCCGGAUUGUUGAAAAUGUGCCCCCUGUUGCACUAAAUGACGAUAGAGUUGUGGAGAUACAAGGCGAGCCUCUUGGUGUCCACAAAGCAGUGGAGUUGAUAGCAAGUCACUUGAGAAAAUUUCUUGUUGACCACAGCGUUCUCCCACUAUUUGAACAGCAAAUGAAAAUGCACAGUGUGCAGAGAGAGCAGCCCAUGGCAGCCCCACAGCAUUGGGCGCCUACUCAACCCUGGGUUCCUCCUCCAAGUCUCCCUCCUGGUGGUCCAGGUUAUGGUGGAAAUCCACAGUUCAUGCCUCCAAGGCCACAAGACAACUAUUAUCCCCGUCCAGAUGUGCCGCCUAUGGAAAAGCAGCCGCACUAUGGCAUUUCUGCAUAUGGACGUGAGGCACCACCAAGUGGUACUUCAGGCAAUCAACCACCACUGCAUGUGGCCUCUCAGGUACAUAACAUGCAAAUUCCUCUCUCCUAUGCUGAUGCUGUGAUUGGGGCGGCUGGUGCUAGUAUCAGCUAUAUCCGUAGGCACAGUGGUGCAGCAGUAACUAUUCAAGAAAGCAGAGGCGCACCUGGAGAGAUGACUGUGGAGAUAAUUGGAAGCGCAUCCCAAGUUCAAACUGCCCAGCAACUGAUCCAGCUCUUAUUUCUGAAUCCAUUUGGGAACUGCACCAUGCAUAAUUUCAUGGCGGAAGCUGCUCCACAAACCCGGCCACCGGCUUCCAACCCUCCUGCUCCGCCAGUCGAUCCGGGUUACAGCUCUUACCCGCCGCCACCAUAUGGGGCUCCUCCCACAGGUGCAGGAGGCCCUGCUCCUCACAAUGGCGGAGACUACGGUGGCGGCUCCUACCAUCCCAGCUAUGGAUACUAG
rnacentral:rRNA from 1 species